GCACUGUAAAGGAGUCCCACAACAGGACGAAACGGCCGUCCAGUGC
rnacentral:hammerhead_ribozyme from 1 species